rnacentral:rRNA from 1 species
CUCAGCCUACGGGGGGCAGCAGUAGGGAAUCUUCCACAAUGGGCGAAAGCCUGAUGGAGCAACGCCGCGUGGGUGAAGAAGGUCUUCGGAUCGUAAAACCCUGUUGUUAGAGAAGAAAGUGCGCGAGAGUAACUGUUCACGUUUCGACGGUAUCUAACCAGAAAGCCACGGCUAACUACGUGCCAGCAGCCGCGGUAAUACGUAGGUGGCAAGCGUUGUUCGGAAUAACUGGGCGUAAAGGAUGCGUAGGCGGUUAAA